AUUGAACGCUGGCGGCAUGCUUUACACAUGCAAGUCGAACGGCAGCGCGGGCUUCGGCCUGGCUGCGAGUGGCGAACGGGUGAGUAAUACAUCGGAACGUGCCCAGUUGUGGGGGAUAGCUCGGCGAAAGCCGGAUUAAUACCGCAUACGACCUGAGGUUGAAAGCGGGGGAUCUUCGGACCUCGCGCUAUUGUAUCUGCCUAUUGCAGAUUAGCUAGUUGGUUGGGUAAAGGCCUACCAAGGCGACGAUCUGUAGCUGGCCUGAGAGGACGACCAGCCACACUGGGACUGAGACACGGCCCAGACUCCUACGGGAGGCAGCAGUGGGGAAUAUUGGACAAUGGGCGAAAGCCUGAUCAAGCAAUGCCGCGUGUGUGAUGAAGGCCUUCGGGUUGUAAAGCACUUUUGGCGGGAACGAAAAGGACUGUGCCAAUACCACGGUUCGAUGACGGUACCCGAAGAAUAAGCACCGGCUAACUACGUG
rnacentral:rRNA from 1 species